UCCAGGCUGAGCUCGUGAAUGGGCGUUGGGCUAUGUUGGGUGUUGUAGGGAUGCUAUUGCCAGAGGUUUUCACCAAGAUUGGAAUAAUCAAUGUUCCUCAAUGGUAUGAUGCUGGCAAAGCAGAGUACUUUGCAUCGUCAUCGACCCUCUUCGUAAUUGAGUUCAUAUUGUUCCAUUAUGUGGAGAUCAGAAGGUGGCAAGAUAUCAAGAACCCAGGAAGUGUCAACCAAGACCCAAUCUUCAAGCAAUACAGUUUGCCUCCAAAUGAAGUUGGUUACCCUGGCGGAAUUUUUAAUCCCCUCAACUUUGCACCCACUGUUGACGCCAAGGAGAAGGAGCUUGCAAAUGGGAGAUUGGCGAUGUUGGCGUUCUUAGGAUUUGUGGUUCAACACAAUGUCACUGGAAAAGGACCAUUUGAGAACCUGUUGCAGCACC
rnacentral:misc_RNA from 1 species